GGAGCACAAUAUGUAGUUUA
rnacentral:miRNA from 1 species